AAUGUUUCUCCUGCUGUUGAUGUUUAUACCGCACCUGAUUGUGGCUCCAUAUGCUGUGAUGAAGUUCAGACUCCACCCAUUGUAGUGUUGUACAGGCCCCAUGAUGACAACAACACAGUUCUUAACACAUACGCUACCACUGAAGAGGCAUACGUAGUCCUUAGUGAUGCAGACUCAUCCUUUCAUGAAGCGUACCAAGCUCUCGAUGACACAUACCUGGUUCCUGAAUAUCUUGAGGAAUUGUAUGCUAAUGUUUCUCCUGCUGUUGAUGUUUAUACCGCACCUGAUUGUGGCUCCAUAUGCUGUGAUGAAGUUCAGACUCCACC